rnacentral:rRNA from 1 species
ACACGGAGGGUGCGAGCGUUAAUCGGAAUUACUGGGCGUAAAGCGUACGUAGGCGGUUGGUUAAGUUAGAUGUGAAAGCCCCGGGCUUAACCUGGGAACUGCAUUUAAAACUGGCGAACUAGAGUUGAGUAGAGGGGAGUGGAAUUUCAGGUGUAGCGGUGAAAUGCGUAGAGAUCUGAAGGAACACCAGUGGCGAAGGCGACUCCCUGGACUCGAACUGACGCUGAGGUACGAAAGCGUGGGUAGCAAACGGGAUUAGAUACCCUAGUAGUCC